UGAAACCGUUUAGGGGUAAACCUGAGAAACCCGAAAGGUCGAAGGGAGAAAUUCAUUCGCGUUCGCCGAUGGCUUCAAACGAACGCGUUGACGGAGGGCGUGUACGUCUUCAGCUCCGUUCGUUCGAAGAUCCGUUAGCGAACGCGUGCACUUUUCUCCUGGUAGGACGUCGCGAUCCGUUGGGUGUCGGUCUACGGUUUCGAGUGGAGCCCGUCGGUUACACGUUAACCGGCGGACCUCGGAUGCCCGACCGACCCGCUCGACGGUAUCAGAAAGGUUUAAGGCCGCUCAUUGGGAGCGUCCGGGUCGCUGCAAGCGCGUCGGUUGUGUCGGCGAUCGGACCUAGUGCCGAUUCUGACCGCCGGCGACUGUUGGCCGCGAACCUCUCGGACAGACCUGGUAACCGAUCGGCGACGCUAUAGCUUUGGGUACUUUCAGGACCCGUCUUGAAACACGGACCAAGGAGUCUAGCAUGUGCGCGAGUCAUUGGGAAUCACUAAACCUAAAGGCGCAAUGAAAGUAAAGGUCUUCCUUGCGGGGACCGAGGGAAGACGGGCGGUUCGGCCUUAAAACCGGCCGCUCUGCAUUCCCGGGGCGUCUCGUUCUCAUCGCGAGAAGAGGCGCACCAAGAGCGUACACGCUGGGACCCGAAAGAUGGUGAACUAUGCCUGGUCAGGACGAA
rnacentral:rRNA from 1 species